rnacentral:tRNA from 1 species
GGGGUUGUAGUUUAAAUUUAAUAGAAGCAACAUUUAAUUUGCAAUUAAAAAGUACUAAAAAUUAGUCUUCCUCA